rnacentral:rRNA from 1 species
GCAAGUCGAACGGUAACAGGCCGCAAGGUGCUGACGAGUGGCGAACGGGUGAGUAAUGCAUCGGAACGUGCCCAGUCGUGGGGGAUAACGCAGCGAAAGCUGCGCUAAUACCGCAUACGAUCUAUGGAUGAAAGCGGGGGACCGUAAGGCCUCGCGCGAUUGGAGCGGCCGAUGUCAGAUUAGGUAGUUGGUGGGGUAAAGGCUCACCAAGCCAACGAUCUGUAGCUGGUCUGAGAGGACGACCAGCCACACUGGAACUGAGACACGGUCCAGACUCCUACGGGAGGCAGCAGUGGGGAAUUUUGGACAAUGGGCGCAAGUCUGAUCCAGCAAUGCCGCGUGCAGGAAGAAGGCCUUCGGGUUGUAAACUGCUUUUGUACGGAACGAAACGGUCUGAGUUAAUACCUCGGGCUAAUGACGGUACCGUAAGAAUAAGCACCGGCUAACUACGUGCCAGCAGCCGCGGUAAUACGUAGGGUGCAAGCGUUAAUCGGAAUUACUGGGCGUAAAGCGUGCGCAGGCGGUGAUGUAAGACAGUCGUGAAAUCCCCGGGCUCAACCUGGGAAUUGCGAUUGUGACUGCAUCGCUGGAGUGCGGCAGAGGGGGAUGGAAUUCCGCGUGUAGCAGUGAAAUGCGUAGAUAUGCGGAGGAACACCGAUGGCGAAGGCAAUCCCCUGGGCCUGCACUGACGCUCAUGCACGAAAGCGUGGGGAGCAAACAGGAUUAGAUACCCUGGUAGUCCACGCCCUAAACGAUGUCAACUGGUUGUUGGGUCUCUUCUGACUCAGUAACGAAGCUAACGCGUGAAGUUGACCGCCUGGGGAGUACGGCCGCAAGGUUGAAAACUCAAGGAAUUGACGGGGACCCGCACAAGCGGUGGAUGAUGUGGUUUAAUUUCGAUGCACGCGAAAAACCUUACCCACCUUUGACAUGUACGGAAGUUUCCAGAGAUGGAUUCGUGC